AUGUCAGUGGAGGAGCUGAUCGGGCGACUCCGAUCGGCCACAGAGCGCUGCUCCAUCACCAUCCAGAACCACGGCGGCGAGCUUCUUCUCACGGAGAAGGAGUGGCUCGCGCGCGCCAAGAACAAGGAAAGGGGGCAGGGCUCCAACUCCGGUGGCGGCAAGUACAAGGGCAAGCAACAGCAGGGCACCAGGCACGGCGGCGAGAAGAACAAGCAGCAGUCCGGGGGUGGUCGCGACAUGUCCAAGGUAAAAUGUUACAACUGUAACAAGUACGCGAAUCACUUCUCCAGGGACUGUCCCGAGCCUCGCCGUGAGCGCAAGGAACGUGCCAACCUGGUACAAACAGAGGAGGAGCCGAAGGAGUCAACGCUCUUCCUCGCCAGUAUCUGCGCGCUCUCCAUCACGGAGGGCACCAACGAGCAUGUCCUGCUGAGCGAGGAGCGCUCCCAGGUACGCAUCGCUGCAGAAGGGGAGGGGUGCGAC
rnacentral:rRNA from 1 species